rnacentral:tRNA from 1 species
GCCUGGGUGGCUCAGUUGGUUAAGUGUCUGACUUCGGCCCAGGUCAUGAUCUCACGGUUCGCGGGUUGGAGACCCGCCUCGGGCU